rnacentral:rRNA from 1 species
AGACGGAGGGGGCUAGCGUUGUUCGGAAUUACUGGGCGUAAAGCGCGCGUAGGCGGUCCGUUUAGUUAGGCGUGAAAGCCCUGGGCUCAACCCGGGAACUGCGUCCGAAACGGCCGGGCUUGAGAUCGGGAGGGGUGUGUGGAAUUCCGGGUGGAGCGGUGAAAUGCGUUGAUAUCCGGAGGAACACCGGCGGCGAAAGCGACACACUGGUCCGAUUCUGACGCUGAGGUGCGAAAGCCAGGGGAGCAAACGGGAUUAGAAACCCCGGUAGUCC